GGAGGAUUCUUGUGUUUUUAACUAUGAAACUGUUGGUCCUCGUUCUGUGCUUCAUAACUUUAACUUUCGCCUUUCCUGUCUCUGAGGAGGAAGACAGAGUCACACGCUCAGCGAGUUUAGAGUAUCUGUCACUCCUCUCCAUCUUUCAACCCAACCAAAUCUUGACAACACUGCUGCGACUUUUGUUGGGAGGUCUUUGAUCUG